rnacentral:rRNA from 1 species
AGAGUUUGAUCCCAGCUCAGGAUGAACGCUAGCGGUGCGCUUAACACAUGCAAGUCGUGCGAUCGAACUAGACGGAUUUCCCUUCGGGGACUGAAGACUGGUCACGGAGCGGCGAACUGGUGAGUAACACGUAGCUAACCUACCUUCUUGACAGGAACAACCAUUCGAAAGGAUGGCUAAUGCCUGAUGUUGUGCGGAGUUGAUGACUUCGUUCCAAAGGCGGUCUUGCCGCCACAAUGAGAGGGGGCUGCGUCCUAUUAGCUUGUUGGUAGGGUAAUGGCCUACCAAGGCGAUAAUGGGUAGCUGGUCUGAGAGGAUGAUCAGCCACAUUGGGACUGAGAUACGGCCCAGACUCCUACGGGAGGCAGCAGUGGGGAAUAUUGGACAAUGGACGAAAGUCCGAUCCAGCGACACCCCGUGGGGGAUGAAGGCUUUCGGGUUGUAAACCCCUUUUCUGGAGGAAGAAUAAGGUUGGGAGGAAAUGCCCAUCCGAUGACGGUACUCCAGGAAUAAGCAUCGGCAAACUUCGUGCCAGCAGCCGCGGUAAGACGAAGGAUGCAAGCGUUAUCCGGAAUUACUGGGCGUAAAGGACGUCUAGGCGGUUGGAUAAGUCAUUUGUGAAAUCCCAGGGCUCAACCCUGGAAGGUCUUGUGAUACUGUCCGGCUUGGGUGUAGGAGAGGAGAGCGGAACUCACAGAGUAGCGGUGGAAUGCGUAGAUACUGUGAGGUACCCCGAUGGCGAAGGCAGCUCUCUGGCCUAUUACCGACGCUGAAGCGUGAAAGCGUGGGGAGCAAAGGGGAUUAGAUACCCCCGUAGUCCACGCCCCAAACGAUUUUCACUUGGUGUCGGGAGCCUAUAUAUCUCGGUGCCGGAGCUAACGCGUUAAGUGAACCGCCUGAGGAGUACGGCCGCAAGGCUAAAACUCAAGAGAAUUGACGGGUCCCCGCACAAGCGGUGGAGCACGUGGUUUAAUUCGAUGACAAGCGAAGAACCUCACCUGGGCUUGACAUACUAGUGGUAAGAACCGGAAACGGUGAUGACCCUACCUUCGGGUAGGGAGCUAAUACAGGUGAUGCAUGGCUGUCGUCAGCUCGUGUCGUGGGAUGUAGGGUUAAGUCCCGAAACGAGCGCAACCCUUGUCACUAGUUGCCAGCGGAUAAUGCCGGGGACUCUAGUGAGACUGCUGGUGAAUAGCCGGAGGAAGGCGGGGAUGACGUCAAGUCAUCAUGUCCCUUAUGCCCA